rnacentral:rRNA from 1 species
GACGUAGGUGGCGAACGUUAUCCGGAAUUAUUGGGCGUAAAGGGUGCGUAGAUGGCCUGAUAAGUUAGCAGUGGUAAAUCGAGGCUCAACCUCGUGGAAACUGAUAAUACUGUCUGGCUCGAGUACAGAAGAGGUUAACGGAAUUCCAUGUGGAGCGGUAAAAUGCACAGAUAUAUGGAAGAACACCAAUAACGGCGAAGGCAGUUAACUAUUCUGUUACUGACAUUGAGGCACGAAAGCGUGGGGAGCAAAACGG